rnacentral:rRNA from 1 species
GAGCACGUAGGUGGGUUUGUAAGUCAGACGUUAAAGCCUUCUGUUCAACGGAAGAAUUGCAUCUGAAACUACAAACCUUGAGUGUAGGAGGGGAGAAUGGAACUUCUGGUGGAGCGGUGAAAUGCGUAGAUAUCAGAAGGAACGCCGGCGGCGAAAGCGAUUCUCUGGCCUAUUACUGACACUCAGUGUGCGAAAGCUAGGGGAGCAAACGGGAUUAGAUACCCCGGUAGUCCUAGCCGUAAACGAUGGGCACUAAGUAGAGGGGUUUU